GCGGCGGAGAACCGUCACCAGAGACGUCAGCAGCAGCAUCGAUGACGGAGCAGGGAGAAACGCAGCAGUGAAGGAAGCAAUUCCAUAAUGUUACAGCAAUUGGUCUUACAAUACAGUGCUGAGACGGAACAACAUUCUCCCAAAAUAUUCUCUCAUGGUGGAGCACAAAGACCACGGAUACGAUGAAGAGAUGCAGCCAGAUAGACGAGUGGUGACAUGAAAAUCCUCAGCACGAGAUUGGUGGAGACACAUGUUAUUGGUUGAUUUCUACAAUAGUUCCUGUGGUAAUUUAAUUGGAUAAGAAUCACAAUGACAACCUAAGGAGAUUCAGCGGAAUGCAACAUACCCCAAAUCAGAGGACUAUUUGAUCAGGAAACGCUUUUUCCUGAAUUAACAAAUAAACUGAUGGCUGUUCCUACUUUUGAAACAUCAACGAGGCGAGUCACCUAUCUGCGCAGCGUGGGGCCUUCGGAAGGGAUUGCGGGUCCUCAUCACGUCUUUGA